AGGCUAAUAGCUCAGUGGCAGAGUGAUUGCUUUAUGAGUAAGAGAUCUUAAGUUCGAAUCCUGAUGCCUU
rnacentral:tRNA from 1 species